GCAAACUUGGUCAUUUAGAGGAAGUAAAAGUCGUAACAAGGUUUCCGUAGGUGAACCUGCGGAAGGAUCAUUAACGAGUACAAUCCAGCUUGUUUCCAGCUGUGCAUUAACUUGCACGCCGGGCUCGAGUUGGCUCUUGAACUUUACACACCUGUGCACCUUCUCGUGCCUUCUCCGUUCGCCCGGCCGUAAAAACGCUGGGCUUCCGCCACUUGUGGUGGGAUUCGGGCGCUGCUGUAACUCGUCUUACGGCUCGCCUCGGGGAGAGGGCACUUGCCUUUUUACACCUUUCUUGUAUGUCUUAGAAUGUCUUCGAUCGCCCUGUGAUGGGGUGGUCGUUAAUUAAAUACAACUUUCAGCAACGGAUCUCUUGGCUCUCCCAUCGAUGAAGAACGCAGC
rnacentral:misc_RNA from 1 species